rnacentral:rRNA from 1 species
CAGCCGCCGCGGUAAUACGUAGGGUGCAAGCGUUAAUCGGAAUUACUGGGCGUAAAGCGUGCGCAGGCGGUUAUAUAAGACAGAUGUGAAAUCCCCGGGCUCAACCUGGGAACUGCAUUUGUGACUGUAUAGCUAGAGUACGGCAGAGGGGGAUGGAAUUCCGCGUGUAGCAGUGAAAUGCGUAGAUAUGCGGAGGAACACCGAUGGCGAAGGCAAUCCCCUGGGCCUGUACUGACGCUCAUGCACGAAAGCGUGGGGAGCAAACAGGAUUAGAUCCCCUGUAGUCCCUGUCUCUUAUACC